rnacentral:rRNA from 1 species
UACGUAGGGGGCAAGCGUUGUCCGGAUUUAUUGGGCGUAAAGAGCUCGUAGGCGGUUUGUCGCGUCUGCCGUGAAAGUCCGGGGCUCAACUCCGGAUCUGCGGUGGGUACGGGCAGACUAGAGUGAUGUAGGGGAGACUGGAAUUCCAGGUGUAGCGGUGAAAUGCGUAGAUAUCGGGAGGAACACCAGUGGCGAAGGCGGCAUCCUGGCCCUGUCCUGACGCUCAGGGGCGAAAGCGUGGGGAGCAAACCGG